CCUACGGGUGGCAGCAGUGAGGAAUAUUGGUCAAUGGACGAGAGUCUGAACCAGCCAAGUAGCGUGAAGGAUGACUGCCCUAUGGGUUGUAAACUUCUUUUAUAAAGGAAUAAAACGAGGCACGUGUGCCUUUUUGCAUGUACUUUAUGAAUAAGGAUCGGCUAACUCCGUGCCAGCAGCCGCGGUAAUACGGAGGAUCCGAGCGUUAUCCGGAUUUAUUGGGUUUAAAGGGAGCGUAGAUGGGUUGUUAAGUCAGUUGUGAAAUUUUGCGGCUCAACCGUAAAAUUGCAAUUGAUACUGGCAGUCUUGAGGACAGUUGAGGUAGGCGGAAUUCGUGGUGUAGCGGUGAAAUGCUUAGAUAUCACGAAAAACCCCGAUUGCGAAGGCAGCUUACUAAACUGUGACUGACAUUGAUGCUCGAAAGUGUGGGUAUCAAACAGGAUUAGAUACCCGUGUAGUC
rnacentral:rRNA from 1 species